GCGGACGUGGCGGAAUUGGUAGACGCACUGGAUUUAGGUUCCAGCGCCUUGUGCGUGAGAGUUCGAGUCUCUCCGUCCGCACCA
rnacentral:tRNA from 1 species